rnacentral:lncRNA from 1 species
UUUUGUUGUUAAAUCUUGUUUUUUCUUUUUUUGUUUGUCUUUUUGAGAUGGCUUGUUUGUUUGUUUGUUUGUUUUAAUGAUGGGAACGUUUAAAAUUAAUAGAAAGCAUCAAUUUCAGAUAAGAACACUCAAAAUAAUUAAAAAUUUAGAUUUACUGAUAGUUUAUUCCCAUAUUUUUGAUUUAUUGUUGACAAGAUACAAUAGUAUAUCCAGGGGUGGCUCAUGCAUAGGUACUGGGGAACUGCAGCACCCCAAUUUUCCUCAAUAUACAAAUAUAUUUAUUAAUAUUUGCUUAUAAUAUUUAUUGUCAACAAUCCCAUACAGUUCUCUUAUUUUGUAUAAAAAAUAAUAAAAAUCCAUCUUGUAGCAUUUAGGAAAGCAAAGGAUGCUAGCAGCAUUGUGUUUAUCACAGUUCCAUAUUGUUACUUGCACAAGCAUAUGCACAUCAUAGUGAGACAUGAGUUAUUAGCAUAAUCCGACACUGUCUGUUGCACAGUUCCACUGUUACUUAU